rnacentral:misc_RNA from 1 species
UCUACACUCGCUCGCUCUCGCUUCUCAACUCUAACUGCACGCCUUUUGCAUUCGUUCUCUCCGACUUCUCAACUAACACUGCCUUUAGCGUCUCUUUGUCUCUUCUCGUCCUAUCGGACACGUAUCCUGAAAUGCCCGUGGCCAGGGUCACGCAGGCCCUUUCCACGAAACUAUCCAUUUGAAAAGACCGACGACGCAUUGAUGUACCCGAUGAUGCCGCGGCUUUGUUUACGGUUCAGCCGAUAUCUUAGGCCUUUUGUCCACGAUACUACAUUAAUAUUAAUAAUAAUAAUAUUAUAAAAUAAUAAAAUGUUUCUAAAAAUGUCAAUCACGUUCAUAAAAAUAUAAAUUUACAUAAAUAUUUGCAGUUUAAUGAUAUAAUCACCUAAAAUUUUAUGAAAAUACAGUGACUGUAUAUGUAAUUCUAUUGUUACCUUUCAAAGCACUGCAGAAAGAUCUUAAUCCCGGUAAUAAAAGGCUCUUUAUCAUCGGACAAUCGUCCUCUCCUUCAGAACCAGGAUGUGCAAGCGCAUCCAUGAAAACGUAUUCUACUACCCUCUGUAUCGCGGUUAUUAUCCCCACUUUUUUUGUGUCUAUCACACCGGUAUAAAGAUCUUUUUGGAAACCUUCCUCAGGUUCCUCCACUUCUUGAUAAUACCAGACAAGGGUGGACUUCAUAUGGGGCAAAAAUAGUUGAUUGAUUUCGUCCAGCAUGUCUCCCUCGAAAACGUGAUCCAUGACCUCGUGGCGGGACAAUUGUGUAGCAUCCAUCAAGAGCUGGAAAGCGAAUUCUAGACGGGGAUCCAUCUCCCCUCGUCUUGCCUUUCUCUCGCAUUCUUCUCGGCGUUUCUGCGAAGCAAAUCGAGGAUAUUAAUUGUUUCUUAUACGUCGUGCUUGAGUCAAUAGUAAUGCCUUAUCAUUGAUCAGACAUUAUGUUCGCCUAUUCUCUUUAUUACAAGUAUAGCGUAGCUUAAUCGAUUGCAGUUUUAUUUUUUAUUUUUGAUGUCAUCCCUUACUACUAUUAUCAAAAUGUGAUAAAUUGUCAUAUCGCACACUCGAGUUUCAAUAAUCCAAUUUAAUUUCACAGUAGAGCGACUUUGUGAAUUUGCGUUAGGUUAAUAUCGCUAUAGUUUAUCUAAUUAUUUAUUGUCCUACUGUUCUACACGAGUAUUACGGUAAUCGGUAGCUUCACUUAGCGCUUCGCAUAAUAACAAAAGAAAAUAUACGCGCGAAUAAAAUAUAAACGGUCAAAAAGCGAAAGAACAAUAGACCUGGAGGACAUCACCGGUCCCUUCUUCGUCGCUGCCUUCCUCAGAAUUCUCUGACUUUUGUUGAACCAACAAAGCAGGAGCUUGCACGAACAUGGUCAAACGAAUUAAACCGGCAAAGACGAUACAAUUACACGAUAAAAGAAUGAAUAACGCGAUGGCGAGAUUCACCGACAGUCGCACCGGCGAACUGAAAGACUUCUGAAGUAAUCUAAGGAGCGAAUAUCCAGUGCCACGAGUUCGUGUCUGGUACCGCCCUUCUACGUAUCGUUCGUGUCGUGUGGGUAUUUCCGCGCGAUUCUGUCGACAGUAGUCGAUACUAAUACCACAUAGUGUGUAUUCUUCUUCCAUUGUCGCAAAAUCAUGU